rnacentral:rRNA from 1 species
UACGGGGGGGGCAAGCGUUGUUCGGAAUUACUGGGCGUAAAGGGCGCGUAGGCGGCCCUCUAAGUCAGACGUGAAAUCCCUCGGCUCAACCGGGGAACUGCGUCUGAUACUGGAGGGCUUGAAUCCGGGAGAGGGAUGUGGAAUUCCAGGUGUAGCGGUGAAAUGCGUAGAUAUCUGGAGGAACACCGGUGGCGAAGGCGGCAUCCUGGACCGGUAUUGACGCUGAGGCGCGAAAGCCAGGGGAGCAAACGGG